GGGUUGUGAGGUUAAGCGACUAAGCGUACACGGUGGAUGCCCUGGCAGUCAGAGGCGAUGAAGGGCGUGCUAAUCUGCGAUAAGCGCCGGUAAGGUGAUAUGAACCGUUAUAACCGGCGAUACCCGAAUGGGGAAACCCAGUGUGAUUCGUCACACUAUCAUUAACUGAAUCCAUAGGUUAAUGAGGCGAACCGGGGGAACUGAAACAUCUAAGUACCCCGAGGAAAAGAAAUCAACCGAGAUUCCCCCAGUAGCGGCGAGCGAACGGGGAGGAGCCCAGAGCCUGAAUCAGCAUGUGUGUUAGUGGAAGCGUCUGGAAAGGCGCGCGAUACAGGGUGACAGCCCCGUACACAAAAGCGCAUGUGCUGUGAGCUCGAUGAGUAGGGCGGGACACGUGGUAUCCUGUCUGAAUAUGGGGGGACCAUCCUCCAAGGCUAAAUACUCCUGACUGACCGAUAGUGAACCAGUACCGUGAGGGAAAGGCGAAAAGAACCCCGGCGAGGGGAGUGAAAAAGAACCUGAAACCGUGUACGUACAAGCAGUGGGAGCACCCUUCGGGGUGUGACUGCGUACCUUUUGUAUAAUGGGUCAGCGACUUAUAUUCUGUAGCAAGGUUAACCGAAUAGGGGAGCCGGAGGGAAACCGAGUCUUAAUUGGGCGUUAAGUUGCAGGGUAUAGACCCGAAACCCGGUGAUCUAGCCAUGGGCAGGUUGAAGGUUGGGUAACACUAACUGGAGGACCGAACCGACUAAUGUUGAAAAAUUAGCGGAUGACCUGUGGCUGGGGGUGAAAGGCCAAUCAAACCGGGAGAUAGCUGGUUCUCCCCGAAAGCUAUUUAGGUAGCGCCUCGUGAAUUCAUCUCCGGGGGUAGAGCACUGUUUCGGCUAGGGGGCCAUCCCGGCUUACCAACCCGAUGCAAACUGCGAAUACCGGAGAAUGUUAUCACGGGAGACACACGGCGGGUGCUAACGUCCGUCGUGAAGAGGGAAACAACCCAGACCGCCAGCUAAGGUCCCAAAGUCAUGGUUAAGUGGGAAACGAUGUGGGAAGGCCCAGACAGCCAGGAUGUUGGCUUAGAAGCAGCCAUCAUUUAAAGAAAGCGUAAUAGCUCACUGGUCGAGUCGGCCUGCGCGGAAGAUGUAACGGGGCUAAACCAUGCACCGAAGCUGCGGCAGCGAACGUAUCACCCAAGACAACUUUGCGGAGUUGACGAUUGACGGAGCGAAGCGACGUCAAAGCGUUCAUUAAAGUCGAGUUGGCUUAGGGAUACGUUCGUUGGGUAGGGGAGCGUUCUGUAAGCCUGUGAAGGUAUGCUGUGAGGCAUGCUGGAGGUAUCAGAAGUGCGAAUGCUGACAUAAGUAACGAUAAAGCGGGUGAAAAGCCCGCUCGCCGGAAGACCAAGGGUUCCUGUCCAACGUUAAUCGGGG
rnacentral:rRNA from 1 species